UUUCGUUACAUACCCACGCCUUACCAGGACUAAACAGCGUGGUAAAACAACAGUCCUUCAUACCUACAUCGGAGGGUGAUGUAGGAAUAUUUUAUCUG
rnacentral:ncRNA from 1 species